rnacentral:rRNA from 1 species
UACGUAGGGUCCGAGCGUUGUCCGGAAUUAUUGGGCGUAAAGGGCUCGUAGGCGGUUCGUCACGUCGGGAGUGAAAACUCGGGGCUUAACCCGAGCCUGCUUCCGAUACGGGCAGACUAGAGGUAGGGCAGGGGAGAGCGGAACUCCUGGUGUAGCGGUGGAAUGCGCAGAUAUCAGGAAGAACACCGGUGGCGAAGGCGGCUCUCUGGGCCUUACCUGACGCUGAGGAGCGAAAGCGUGGGUAGCGAACAGG